rnacentral:rRNA from 1 species
GAUGAACGCUGGCGGCGUGCUUAACACAUGCAAGUCGAACGGGACUCAUAGGAUCAAGGAUUCGUCCAAGUGAAUAUGAGUUUAGUGGCGGACGGGUGAGUAACGCGUGAGGAACCUGCCUCGGAGUGGGGAAUAACAGUUGGAAACAGCUGCUAAUACCGCAUGAUGCAUAUUGAUCGCAUGGUCGAUAUGCCAAAGAUUUAUCGCUCUGAGAUGGCCUCGCGUCUGAUUAGCUAGUUGGCGGGGUAACGGCCCACCAAGGCGACGAUCAGUAGCCGGACUGAGAGGUUGGCCGGCCACAUUGGGACUGAGACACGGCCCAG